UGGGGAAUAUUGCACAAUGGGCGAAAGCCUGAUGCAGCAACGCCGCGUGAGUGAUGAAGGCCUUCGGGUUGUAAAGCUCUGUCUUUUGGGACGAUAAUGACGGUACCAAAGGAGGAAGCCACGGCUAACUACGUGCCAGCAGCCGCGGUAAUACGUAGGUGGCAAGCGUUGUCCGGAUUUACUGGGCGUAAAGGAUGCGUAGGCGGAUUUUUAAGUGAGAUGUGAAAACCCUAAGCUUAACUUGGGGACUGCAUUUCAUACUGGAAAUCUAGAGUGCGGGAGAGGAGAAUGGAAUUCCUAGUGUAGCGGUGAAAUGCGUAGAGAUUAGGAAGAACACCAGUGGCGAAGGCGAUUCUCUGGACCGUAACUGACGCUGAGGCAUGAAAGCGUGGGUAGCAAACAGGAUUAGAUACCCUGGUAGUCCACGCCGUAAACGAUGAGUACUAGGUGUAGGAGGUAUCGACCCCUUCUGUGCCGCAGUUAACACAAUAAGUACUCCGCCUGGGAAGUACGAUCGCAAGAUUAAAACUCAAAGGAAUUGACGGGGUCAUAGCUGUUUU
rnacentral:rRNA from 1 species